rnacentral:rRNA from 1 species
ACGUGAUCUGAGUUCAGACCGGAGUAAUCCAGGUCAGUUUCUAUCUAUAAAGGAGUUUUUUCUAGUACGAAAGGACCGAGAAAACAUGGCCUACAAUUUGAAUCAAGCUAUAUUUAUUAACUUAUGAUAUAGUCUUAAUAAGUAAUUAAAUCAACAUUCAGCUCAAAAAAAGGGUA